rnacentral:rRNA from 1 species
CCUACGGGCGGCUGCAGUAGGGAAUCUUUCACAAUGGGCGAAAGCCUGAUGGAGCAACGCCGCGUGCAGGAUGAAGGCCUUCGGGUUGUAAACUGCUUUUAUAAGCGAGAAAUAUGAUGGUAACUUAUGAAUAAGGAUCGGCUAACUACGUGCCAGCAGCCGCGGUCAUACGUAGGAUCCGAGCAUUAUCCGGAGUGACUGGGUGUAAAGAGUUGCGUAGGUGGCAUAAUAAGUAGCUAGUGAAAUCUGGUGGCUCAACCAUUCAGACUAUUAGCUAAACUGUUAAGCUCGAGACCGUUAGAGGUAACUGGAAUUUCUAGUGUAGGAGUGAAAUCCGUAGAUAUUAGAAGGAACACCAAUAGCGUAGGCAGGUUGCUGGGACGGUUCUGACGCUAAGGCACGAAAGCGUAGGGAGCAAACGGGAUUAGAUACCCCUGUAGUC